UGACGUGUGCUUGUGCUGUAGGUCAAUAGAGGAGAGAUGGUGUCCGUGGUGAGGCAGCCGCAGAACCCUAUGACCGAAAUGCGGUGAUUGUUGUUAAUGUGUCUGGAAGUCAGGUGGGGCACAUCAGGAAAGAGCCUGCAGCCACAAUGGCCUACAUUAUGGACAACAAUUUGGCCAGUAUGGAAGGGGUUGUGUCAUAUGGAGAGGAAAAAUACAUUUUCAAUGCCAGUAAACCUCACACUCUGGGGCAAAGAGGAGAACCGAGAAGCUGUGCAUAAUCAGAUGAGAUAGCACUGAGGUCAAAGGUUCAGCCAUUUGUUUAUUUGCUUCUUUAUUUUAGUUGGUGAACGCAUAACACUUAUAUUAUUGAUAUUUUAUUAUCUUAGGAGGGACUACACAAACAUUUGUGGGUAGAGAUCUGCUUGGUUUGUCUUCAAAAAUAUCUGCCAUUCCUGGCAAAUUCCAUGUGACGGAUGUUAGUUAUAAGAUGUCCAAAUGAAUUAUUGUUCUUUGUCUGGUAUGACUUUAUAUGGUCAAAUCUAGAUCAGUGGUUCUCACAAGUUUUUUUUCCCCUACACAACACAAUAUCUAUAAAAUCUCUGUAUAAUCACGCAUUACAAAGUAUAAAUAAUAUUAAAUACAAAUAAAUAAAUGAUAAGCCUUAUUUAUUUUAAUAUUCUUUAAUAUAAUAUGAACCAUAUUUACUUUUUCCUUGCCUAAUUUUGUUUUAUCGGAUGCACAGCUGUUGACGUCAACAACAAAUAAUAUGGGAGGCUUGUUUUUAGUUUUAAAAGGCGAUAAGUUGAUAUAUUUUGCUGUCUUAACUAUACAUAGUAUGAUAUGAGGCAUGAUGAUAUAGUUAGUUUCAUUUAGCAUUCAUUUAACAUUCUAUUUUUCAUCGAUUUGGAACAAACAAUCAACACACCAGUAGAGAACCACCAAUCAAUAUGUUUAUGGUGCUUUUUGCACAAUUUUGGUGAACUGAAUAAUAAAACUUAUUUUUGUUAAAUCAUAAUCAGCUGAACAUAUGCCUUUGACACACUAUUUGUUGAUUUAAUGGGGGAUAAAACCAGAGAAAUGGAGCCAGCAGAGGUGAGAGCACAGAAAGAACACACAUCUGUUUUUGUACCGUCAAUCUCAUCUCAUCCAUCAGUCACUUACAGAUGUCUCUGUUCAUGUCUGACCGUGCAGGCAGUGUGCACUUCCCUGCUCCAACAUCAAAAGCAGGCGCUCUCUUGACCUCUUGUGAGAACGGCAACGAUCUGCCCCCAUUCUGGGAGGAGAAGCAUGGCCUCUACUUUACUGUUCUCACUAACUUUGAUAUAAAGGAAAGGCCAGAAAAAAGUGCUUGGUGGGAUUUCGGCUGAUGACAAAUGUAUUUAUUAUUUAUUUAUUAAGUCACAUUUGUUGUAGAUUAUUAACAUGUGCAAUCAUUAUAUUAUUUUUGGAUGGUGGAUUUAAAACACAGUCUCAUGUUUUUGCUGCUAGAGAAUGUUUGUCAUUACAAAAUGCUAAGCCAUGGUGAGGGAAACCAAUCUGUGGAUCUUUUAAAUUGAUAAAAAUAUCAUAAAAUUCACCUUGAAUCUUGACAGAGUUCUGUUUAUACUAAGUUAGGUGUCAUUUGCACUAAGUGCCAUGUCGUUCAAAACCGUAAAAGCUUUGUUCUUCUUCAGAACACUAUUUAAGAUAUUUUGGAUAAAAACUAGGAGGCUUGUGACUGUCCAAGUAUGUUACACUGUCAAGGUCCAGAAAAGUAUAAAAAGCAUGUACUGAAGCUGCAGUCAGAGCGCAGGUGGAUCCUGUCUGGUACGUUCACUUAGGAGGUUACCUGUUUAUUCUUGGAUUAUUUCUUAAUUUCCAUGAUGUUUUGCCAUUAAAUAGUUGCAAAAGAACAGAUUAUUAAUGCCUAUGAAGUGAGGUUCGGGGGUGUCUCAUCAAUCAGAUCACAUUGAUGCUCAGGUGAGGAGUGCGCCAUCUGUACUCUUGUAUUGGAUUUCUUGAUAUUGUUUGUUCCUGUCUCACAGGAGCAGGCCCGAUUUCCCCUGUGUCGUGCUCAGAUCAAGACCAAAGAGCUGGUGAAGUAUCCUGGAGAAGAAACAGAGGAUGGACCAGCCAACGGGGAGAACUGCGAUCAAGUUCCAAAGUGGAUGCUUUGUUGAAUGCAGCCUGUUGAAGCUCUGCAAUGAAGACCCCACUGUGAAGAGUCUUGUAGCUUCUCAGUUUACCAGGUUUAUGGAUCUUACAGAAGAUCCCUUGAGGCUUGGACUCCCGCAGCAGAGGAUCAGUGUGUUGAUAGAUGUCAUAGACUGGGCCAGAGCAGAGAUGUGGUGAUCACUAAGGUAGUCUUUUAUUCAUUGCAUGGGAGGCACUCAGAGGAAAGUUAGCAGCUGAUUGCAGCAAUAAUUAUUACACAUCUGAGAUUAUUCUCAUUGUUAAACACAGUGCUGACAAAUGAUACAUGAUAUUAAUGGUUUUCUUAUCAA